rnacentral:rRNA from 1 species
ACGAACGCUGGCGGCGUGCUUAACACAUGCAAGUCGAACGGAAAGGCCCUGCUUUUGUGGGGUGCUCGAGUGGCGAACGGGUGAGUAACACGUGAGUAACCUGCCCUUGACUUUGGGAUAACUUCAGGAAACUGGGGCUAAUACCGGAUAGGAGCUCCUGCUGCAUGGUGGGGGUUGGAAAGUUUCGGCGGUUGGGGAUGGACUCGCGGCUUAUCAGCUUGUUGGUGGGGUAGUGGCUUACCAAGGCUUUGACGGGUAGCCGGCCUGAGAGGGUGACCGGCCACGUUGGGACUGAGCUACGGCCCAGACUCCUACGGGAGGCAGCAGUGGGGAAGAUUGCACAAUGGGCGGAAGCCUGAUGCAGCAACGCCGCGUGCGGGAUGACAGCCUUCGGGUUGGAAACCGCUUUCGCCUGUGACGAAGCGUGAGUGACGGUAAUGGGUAAAGAAGCACCGGCUAACUACGUG